GCUGUAGCUCAGUGAUUGAGCAUCUGCCUUGCACAGAGAAGGUCUCGGGUUCAAUCCCCAGCAUCUCCA